GCUCUUGUCCGGAAGCUGUUCCGCCACCUCCGCCAGAGCCUUCUCCGCCGUGGCUGACACCGUCUCCGCCACUUCCGCCGCCGCUUCCACCUCUUCCAACACCAUUUCUGCCUUACCUUCCAAUGUGCGAAAUUUUUGGUUCCAGAAAGGCCUUCCGCCGCCGCAGGGGGUCCAAAGGGCGGCAGACGGCGGCGGCGCCCCCACCACAAGCCGGCGGCGACGGAUGUGACUUUGUAGCGGUUGUAUAGCAGAUUGGUGAAGGAAGAUUGCCAACUUCUUCCAGCCAUAAGAAGAAGCAAUUCAAUCAAGAAUUAAUUUUAAAUUAUGAUAUGAGGAAUUGAAAGGUAAGGAUAAAAUUGUGAGGAAAGAAUUAAGUAAAUAAUAGGAUCAAGAGAAUGAAGCUAGCUAGCUAAUAACUAAUUGGUUUGAAAUAUAUGUAUAUAUAUAUAUAUAUCAUUUAUAAACACGCCAAGGAAUUAUGUCGUUGAGUUUACAUGCACUUCCUUCCACCUUUUAUGCCCAACAACAUUGCUUUGCAAGCCAACAUUUUAUUGUGUAUUUCAUUUUGAUACA